AAAUCUCAAUUUUUGGCUGGUUCAUCAUUAUUUUGUUUUGUUUUCAAAUUCGUGAGAGACUCAUCAGAAAUAAUUAGAGGUGGAGGGGAACAAUGUCAUCAUGGACAGGCCAUGGGGAAACUGUUAUUGCUAGCAACAGAGAGCAAUGAGACCACAGAGUCCAUGCCUCCAACCAUUGAUUGCCCUUCAGAAAAUUUUGGCUAAGAACAGAUCAAUGAAGACUGAUGAUGUAUGGAGUAGAAGAGACAUCCUCCAAAUUGUUAAACCAGAAAGCCAGAAUGACUGGACCACUACCCCUAUCUGAUACUG